UCCAUGCUUACUGUACGGGUGUCAAAC
rnacentral:piRNA from 1 species